UCGUCCUUGCCUGUGCGUCCCUGCUCCCCUGUGCUCAGCCAUGGCAGGGAGGCCUGAGGCAGGACAUACAGUAUCUCCCUCUCAGUUUAGCACGGCUGUCCUAAGCACAGGGCUGGCUCUUAAAGGUAUGAGAAGACAUU
ensembl:snoRNA